UUUAAAUUAAAAAAUAAGCAAAAAUUAAAUCAUGCCCACACAUCUUUUCAACUGCACCAGUGGAUAAUAAUCCUCUUCAGGAAAUAAAUUCUGAAUUUCAGUAAUUACUGUAUUGGUUUCAUUCCUUACUAAAAUCAAUGAAAAUAGCAUUCUAUCGCUGAACUAAUACGCAAAUUAAUUCAUGAUCUCCAUGAAAAACUGUGGAAGCGUGGGUAAACGGCGGGAGUAACUAUGACUCUCUUAAGGUAGCCAAAUGCCUCGUCAUCUAAUUCGUGACGCGCAUGAAUGGAUUAACGAGAUUCCCACUGUCCCUAUCUACUAUCUAGCGAAACCACAGCCAAGGGAACGGGCUUGG
rnacentral:ncRNA from 1 species